UGAACAGUCUGCUGAAAACAAACACUGUUAAGUGGAAAGAAGACUAGGGCUGGUCUAAUUCCCCACUGCAACAUUUUCAAAUGACGAAUGCUUGGUAAAUGGAUUUAGCUUUGAAAGAAAGUCGCACAGAAAUUUGAUGUGGCCUCGUGACCCUGGAAACGGGGAUGCCUGGCCUGACUGCUUUGCACAAAACUACUCAUAUGUUUGCAAAAUGAGCAAACAUUCAGCUGAGGAAGAGGUGCCAUGUUAGUGCAACUUGAAUGGCCACAGGAUCAUACUAAUUGCUCCAGCCCAGAGACUAUUGGGCAUGAAGCGGCUGGAAAAUAUUGGUCAUCCCACGAAGCUGGUGGCAGCCAAGUCCAAGAUUUUUUAUACGGAUCAUGGGUUAUGAGAUCCACUGUAACAUACUGCUUAUAACAAAUGAUAAGAGGAACUAAUGGAUCAUGAAAAUGUCUCCUACACAAUAACCAAAGCCCAUCUAAUAAAUAGGUCCACAAUUCAAAUGAUCAGGAAGAAGUAUUCUUCACUUUCUUGGAUGAGUGCAUCGUCAACAAAUCAAAAGAUGCUUAACUCCUUACAGACCAUAGCAACCCACUUCAGAGGCACUGAUCCACAGCCAUUCACUGACACAGAAGCAUGAUGCAUGUUUUCAAAUUACCAAUUACCAAAAGGUCUUUACACCUUUCCAGCCCCACAACCUCCACCAACUGGAAGCACAAGAUCAGCAAAAGCACGGACCAGUACCAUUUGAAAUUUUUUCUCCAAGCCACAUAGUAUAUUGACUUGGAAAUAUAUUUCCCUUCCUUUACCAUCACUGUAUUAACAUCCACAUUUCAAGUACUGCAGCAGGGUUCAAGAAGGUAGAUCACCCACUCCUUCUCAGGGUCAGUAAUGGAUGGGUAAUUAAAUGCAAACUCAACCUGUGAAGACAAAAUCCUUUUAAUGAAUACAUAUUUUUUUUAAAAAAUCACAUUUAAUGGGCACCCUGCUGUCACAGAAAGAAUUAAUGUCUGUGAAUCUUUGCCUUCCUUGUUGUUAUUGUGGGAUAGAUGUUCUUUGUGGAUUUGAAGCAUUCAACAAAGCCCAUUUAAAGGGAAUGGAAGCAGAGUCACAUUGACACUCAAGGAGAUCUCCAAGAUGUAUAGUUCUCUUUCGAACUUUGUAUAAAUUGGUGCUACUCUGAGAGCUGUUGGUCAUA